CUACGGGACGCAGCAGUAGGGAAUCUUCGGCAAUGGACGGAAGUCUGACCGAGCAACGCCGCGUGAGUGAAGAAGGUUUUCGGAUCGUAAAGCUCUGUUGUAAGAGAAGAACGAGUGUGAGAGUGGAAAGUUCACACUGUGACGGUAUCUUACCAGAAAGGGACGGGUAACUACGUGCCAGCAGCCGCGGUAAUACGUAGGUCCCGAGCGUUGUCCGGAUUUAUUGGGCGUAAAGCGAGCGCAGGCGGUUAGAUAAGUCUGAAGUUAAAGGCUGUGGCUUAACCAUAGUACGCUUUGGAAACUGUGUAACUUGAGUGCAGAAGGGGAGAGUGGAAUUCCAUGUGUAGCGGUGAAAUGCGUAGAUAUAUGGAGGAACACCGGUGGCGAAAGCGGCUCUCUGGUCUGUAACUGACGCUGAGGCUCGAAAGCGUGGGGAGCAAACAGGAUUAGAUACCCGGGUAGUC
rnacentral:rRNA from 1 species